UACGGAGGGGGCAAGCGUUAUUCGGAAUUAUUGGGCGUAAAGGGCGCGUAGGCGGCUAGAUGUGUCAAAGGUGAAAUCCCUCGGCUCAACUGAGGAACUGCCUUUGAAACUGUCUGGCUUGAGGCCGGGAGAGGGUAGCGGAAUUCCCAGUGUAGCGGUGAAAUGCGUAGAUAUUGGGAGGAACACCAGUGGCGAAGGCGGCUACCUGGACCGGUUCUGACGCUGAGGCGCAAAAGCGUGGGUAGCAAACAGG
rnacentral:rRNA from 1 species